rnacentral:rRNA from 1 species
UACGUAGGGUGCGAGCGUUGUCCGGAAUUAUUGGGCGUAAAGGGCUCGUAGGCGGUUUGUCGCGUCGGGAGUGAAAACCAGGUGCUUAACACCUGGCUUGCUUUCGAUACGGGCAGACUAGAGGCAUGCAGGGGAGAACGGAAUUCCUGGUGUAGCGGUGAAAUGCGCAGAUAUCAGGAGGAACACCGGUGGCGAAGGCGACUACCUGGCCUGUUCUUGACGCUGAGGCGCGAAAGCUAGGGGAGCAAACGGG